rnacentral:lncRNA from 1 species
GGGGAGGGUGUCAGCCGACAGAGAUACAGCUGAAAAAAUUAUUUGAUUAAUUAUAUUUAUUUCAUAAAUUUUUUAAUGUUAUUGCUGAAAAUUUUUAAUUAUUUGAUUAAUUAAUUUUUUCACUAACACAAUGCACAUUGCUGUUACUUAUUAUAAAUUAAUUAUUUUAUAUGCUAUUUUGUAUACUUUUAUUUAUUAUAAUUAAAUAUAAAAAAUAUUUUUUUUUCAUUGCUAUUUUGUUGUUGUGUGGCAGUGAAUAAGUUAUAGACCCACAGAUGGUCGUCCAUCUCUAUGUUGACGU